rnacentral:rRNA from 1 species
GAUGAACGCUGGCGGUGUGCCUAACACAUGCAAGUCGAACGGAAAGGCCCUGCUUUUGUGGGGUGCCCGAGUGGCGAACGGGUGAGUAACACGUGAGUAACCUGCUCUUGACUUUGGGAUAACUUCAGGUAACUGGGGCUAAGACCGGAUAGGAUCUCCCGUUGCAUGGUGGGGGUUGGAAAGUCUCGGCGGUUGGGGAUGGACUCGCGGCUUAUCAGCUUGUUGGUGGGGUAGUGGCUUACCAAGGCUUUGACGGGUAGCCGGCCUGAGAGGGUGACCGGCCACAUUGGGACUGAGAGACGGCCCAGACUGCUACGGGAGGCAGCAGUGGGGAAUAUUGCACAAUGGGCGGGAGCCUGAUGCAGCAACGCCGCGUGCGGGAUGACGGCCUUCGGGUUGUAAACCGCUUUCGCCUGUGACGAAGCGUGAGUGACGGUAAUGGAUAAAGAAGCACCGGCUAACUACGUG